rnacentral:rRNA from 1 species
UGGGGAAUAUUUGACAAUGGGCGAAAGCCUGAUCCAGCCAUGCCGCGUGUGUGAAGAAGGCCUUUUGGUUGUAAAGCACUUUAAGCGAGGAGGAGGCUACUUAGAUUAAUACUCUAGGAUAGUGGACGUUACUCGCAGAAUAAGCACCGGCUAACUCUGUGCCAGCAGCCGCGGUAAUACAGAGGGUGCGAGCGUUAAUCGGAUUUACUGGGCGUAAAGCGUGCGUAGGCGGCUUUUUAAGUCGGAUGUGAAAUCCCUGAGCUUAACUUAGGAAUUGCAUUCGAUACUGGGAAGCUAGAGUAUGGGAGAGGAUGGUAGAAUUCCAGGUGUAGCGGUGAAAUGCGUAGAGAUCUGGAGGAAUACCGAUGGCGAAGGCAGCCAUCUGGCCUAAUACUGACGCUGAGGUACGAAAGCAUGGGGAGCAAACAGG